UCCAGAGUGACCUGGCAACAAGGAUCCUUUCUGGGAAGUUGAAGGAGUGUCCAAAAGCUUUCUCAGUGGAGUACCGAUAAAUAUCCAUCACCACAGGAGAGUGAGGAAAGAGAAAGGAAAGCUCUCUGGCUAUAUUAACCAUGGAGUACUGAAGUAGCUUGCUGAUGGUGUGUCCAAACAAGAUCACAUGCAAAUAAUUCUGAAGGACAGAAGAAAUAGCAGACUGGAGAGGAGCAGAUGUUUUCCUUAUCUUCAGAAAGGAAAAGGAGGAUACAGCAAACUACAUCAAUACAAACAGAUUCUAUAGCACAUCAUAAGAGAUCAAUCAGUUUUCUGAAUGGCCCAUUCCAGCUGAGUGAAUCCAUGAAAGUGGUAGUCUACACCCAAUAACUGGAUUUUCAGCAUCUCUGUGAACAUGGCCAUAACCUUGGUUAAGAUUAUUUAUUAAAAAUUUCCAAUAAACAAUGGCAGCUUAAAGGGAAACUGCUUUAAAAAACAAUCCUGGUUAUCAGUAUUUGCUGAUAAUAUAUUUCAACGCUUCUUGACUACAUUGUUUCAAACUACUUUACUCUGGCAAUUUUAUAUCAGCACAAACAGAAUUUUUGGUCUUUCAGAAGACAUUUAACAUUAUUCUUUAGUAAAACUGUGUGCAAGAGAUGGUAAUUACUGUAUAUAAAUAGUAGUUAAAAUGACUACACUCAAAGAGUAAGAGUCCAAAAUAAUACUGCAUUACACAAAUGGCAUUAAUUGUGUCAAUUUCUGUCAUUUGCACAAAUGAGGCAAAUCCCUGCUAUGACCUGCUGUUUGUUUCAAUGGACUUUCCUCAACAACUGACACCCCUUUCCCCCAUCGGUCCAGUAAAAUGAAGUUUCCUGAAUUUCACUUCUGAACGAUGGCUAUCCUUGCCUUUAAAGCUGAUGAAAAUCUUCAGGUGAGGAGAAGCAGCCUAUGGCCAUUUUUAGUCUCCUGUGGGCUUCUUUUUAUCUGAGUUUCAGGUUUGGCAUGCAAACUCAAAAUGGACCCAAAGUCAUGUUCACUCAACAUACUUAAGCUCAAACUAGUCAACCACAUUUUAGCCUGCUGUGUUGUAUGAACCAAGCAGAUGUAAUUCAUUAAUGGUUCAGUGCAAAAAAUUAUGUAAAUUGAGUCAACCAUGUAUGUAUUUUCUGUAUGAUGCAUUUGGUAACUUAAGCAGCAUAUUUCUACAUUGAGAAUAAUCAUAUAAUUCACAUAGCUCUCGGCUUUCUAUGUCCACCCUUUCUUCAUCCCAUAUAAUUCAGUUAAGUAUGCAUAUCUAUUAUGUUGGAGCACAUUAACAAAAAUAUUUGAAAUUCAUAUCAACCCUGUUCCCCCAAAUCAGCACUGUACUGAAAUGUUAAACGUUCUUGGGUGGCAAGUAUAAUUUUAGUGUAUUCAAGUGACCCAAUCAGUGGGCUGUAUCACAGUUUGUCCUGUCUAUAAAGUGGGUAGAUCGUUAACUAUUGAUAGAAUAUUCUGUAAUAUCACAGUAAAGUAGCAAGUUAUAUGAAACAAUUUGAUAGAAUACUUAAUCUUUAAUAUUUUGUGGAACAAUGUUAGUAAUCCUCAUCAAAUCUUUA